rnacentral:rRNA from 1 species
CUACGGGAGGCAGCAGUGGGGAAUAUUGCACAAUGGAGGAAACUCUGAUGCAGCAACGCCGCGUGGAGGAUGACACUUUUCGGAGCGUAAACUCCUUUUAUAUAGGAAGAUAAUGACGGUACUAUAUGAAUAAGCACCGGCUAACUCCGUGCCAGCAGCCGCGGUAAUACGGAGGGUGCAAGCGUUACUCGGAAUCACUGGGCGUAAAGAGCGUGUAGGCGGGUUAAUAAGUCAGAAGUGAAAUCCUAUGGCUCAACCAUAGAACUGCUUUUGAAACUGUUAACCUAGAGUGUGGGAGAGGUAGAUGGAAUUUCUGGUGUAGGGGUAAAAUCCGUAGAGAUCAGAAGGAAUACCGAUUGCGAAGGCGAUCUACUGGAACAUAACUGACGCUGAGACGCGAAAGCGUGGGGAGCAAACAGGAUUAGAUACCCUAGUAGUC